AGACAGUUUGGUCCUUAUCUUCUGUGGGCGUAAGAAAUUUGAGCAGACCUGUCCUUAGUACGAGAGGACCGGGAUGGACGAACCUCUGGUGUUCCUGUUGUCGCGCCAGCGGCAAUGCAGGGUAGCUACGUUUGGAAUGGAUAACCGCUGAAAGCAUCUAAGCGGGAAGCCAACUGCAAGAUUAGAUUUCUCUGGGGCUUCGGCCCCCUAAAGACUCCUCGGAGACUACGAGGUUGAUAGGCAUAAAAUGUACGUACUGUAAGGUAUUCAGUUUAUAUGUACUAAUAGGUCGUGAGGCUUUUUUAAA
rnacentral:rRNA from 1 species